rnacentral:rRNA from 1 species
GACGAACGCUGGCGGCGUGCCUAAUACAUGCAAGUUGAGCGCUGAAGGUUGGUACUUGUACCAACUGGAUGAGCAGCGAACGGGUGAGUAACGCGUGGGGAAUCUGCCUUUGAGCGGGGGACAACAUUUGGAAACGAAUGCUAAUACCGCAUAAAAACUUUAAACACAAGUUUUAAGUUUGAAAGAUGCAAUUGCAUCACUCAAAGAUGAUCCCGCGUUGUAUUAGCUAGUUGGUGAGGUAAAGGCUCACCAAGGCGAUGAUACAUAGCCGACCUGAGAGGGUGAUCGGCCACAUUGGGACUGAGACACGGCCCAAACUCCUACGGGAGGCAGCAGUAGGGAAGCUUCGGCAAUGGACGAAAGUCUGACCGAGCAACGCCGCGUGAGUGAAGAAGGUUUUCGGAUCGUAAAACUCGGUUGGUAGAGAAGAACGUUGGUGAGAGUGGAAAGCUCAUCAAGUGACGGUAACUACCCAGAAAGGGACGGCUAACUACGUG